AAAACUUUCAUAAUCUUAAAAUGCCUUAAUACCUCCCAAAAUAUCCCUAAACAACCCAAAAUAGCCUCACAAAUUCUAAAAUUCUAAAUCCUCAUGGACUCUAAAGAUGAAUCCUUCAUCGCGGAAAAAGUCAGUUCCUAAUCCCCAAGGUCAUACUGUUUUCCUAAUUGGGUCACAGGUUGACAGUUCAAGCGCAAAUCAACCAUGAGUUGACCAUAUAAUCUAAGAUUGCAAGUCCCGGAACCCCUCCCCCUUUCUCAACCCACUCUUCCAAGAUAUCGGUCCCCCAUCCCUCCAUCUAAAAAUCCCACGCCCAUCUGAGAUUCCUAAGCUAAGCAAACAUUUGUCACCAUCUUAAACACCACUCACCUUAAUCCUUCCAUCUAAAAUCCCUAAUCCCUUCUUCCUUUGUCUCAAACCCUAUUGACCUCCUACCUUUUACAAGGGACUCUAAUCGCAUGACCAAAUGAUCCUACAAGAAAGAAUUUGGUGACAGCCAAGCAUCGAGCUAUUGGAGUCACGCUCCAAAGAAAGAGAGGGUCAAGAAGAAAACCAUAUUGUAGUUCAGCCCACCACAUUGGUUCCCAGCCUCUCCUCACCUCCACUUCUUUUAUGACACAUCAGCCCAAGCAAAGGAAGAUAGAGCGGAGAAAACCCCAAAAGAAAGAUCGAGAUUAUUUUUUUUUCAAUUUCUUUUGUUAAGUAGUCAAAAUGUCCCGGGCCAGAACCAAUUUGACUUCCCAGUUCAAAUGACUGAGCUGUUUGACCCACCAGGUCAAAUGGUUUUUUGGGAAUUACGUGUUUUUAUGCG
rnacentral:lncRNA from 1 species